CAUAGGUUAAUCAAAAAGUUAUGAUCUUGAAGAUUGAGCAGACGUAUACGCAAAACACGAAGCGAAUUACAGGUUUGAAUAAGCUCUCCGGUAGAAUUAGAGAAAUCACAUUCGCUUUUACGUGUACUGAUUUGGUGAACAUAGACGAUUCAUACGCAUUGGUUUUUGAUCAUAAGCUGAAACAUAGAUUUACAACAAUGGAGAGUGAAUCAUCAGAAAUUGCAGACCUGAUCCAGAUUGCUAAAUCAGAUGCCGAGGUAAGCUCUUGGUUCUGGGCACGUGUGAUGAAG